rnacentral:rRNA from 1 species
CUCUCUUAAGGAACCCGGCAGAGUAGGGAGGCAAAUCCCUCUAUCUUUAAGCCUGAGAGUUUAUAGCAGAAGUCAUUGUGACUUCGAGUGGUUGAUCCUACACUGCCAAGAAAAGCUUCUAUCUAGUCUUGUUGUGCCCGUACCGUAAACCGACACUGGUGGGUAGGUAGAGAAUACUAAGGCGGCGGGAUAAUCUCUCUUAAGGAACUCGGCAAAUUAGCCCCGUAACUUCGGGAGAAGGGGUGCCCUCAUUAGGUGUAGUUAUUUACUGAUGAAGCCGAAGAGGGUUGCAGUGAAAGGGCCCAAGCGACUGUUUAACAAAAACACAGGUCUCUGCGAAGCCGUAAGGCGAUGUAUAGGGGCUGACGCCUGCCCGGUGCUGGAACGUUAAGAGGAGAGCUUAGGAUUUCGGUCCGAAGGUUUGAAUCGAAGCGCCAGUAGUGAACGGCGGCCGUAACACGGCGGCCGUAACAAUAACGGUCCUAAGGUAGCGAAAUUCCUUGUCAGGUAAGUUCUGACCCGCACGAAUGGCGUAACGACUUGGGCACUGUCUCGAGAGGGAUCCCGGCGAAAUUGCAUUAUGAGUGAAGAUGCUCAUUACCCGCAGCUAGACGGAAAGACCCCGUGGAGCUUUACUGUAGCUUGAUGUUGGAUUUUGGCCAGUCCUGUACAGGAUACGAGGGAGGCUUUGAUGGUGGUACGCAAGUAUUGCCGGAGCCGUUGUUGGGAUACCUCGCUGGUCUUGCUGGAAUUCUAACUCGUGGCGUUAUCCGCUACGAGGACAGCGUCUGGUAGGCAGUUUGACUGGGGCGGUUGCCUCCUAAAGAGUAACGGAGGCGUUCAAAGGUCACCUCAGCCUGGUCGGGAAUCAGGCGUAGAGUGCAAGCGCAUAAGGUGGCUUGACUGCGAGACGUACAUGUCGAGCAGAGUGGAAACACGGAGCUAGUGAUCCGGCGGUGCCGUAUGGAAGGGCCGUCGCUUAUCGGAUAAAAGCUACCCCGGGGAUAACAGGCUUAUCGCGCCCAAGAGCUCAUAUCGACGGCGCGGUUUGGCACCUCGAUGUCGGCUCAUCGCAUCCUGGGGCUGAAGUUGGUCCCAAGGGUUGGGCUGUUCGCCCAUUAAAGCCCAUGCACUCGACCCAAGUCUUGCAGCACUCUGUCAAGCCAGGGAUAGUGCCG